rnacentral:snoRNA from 1 species
AGGUCAUUUCAAAGGGAGCAAGUGGGGCUGUGAAACCCAGAGCUCUUCACACUGUGACCCAAGACUGCAGUUCCCUAUACAGAGGACGUGAUCACCCCUCAAUAGCGCUGCGUUUUCCUGAGGAAGUAUAAGG